rnacentral:rRNA from 1 species
AUUGAACGCUGGCGGCAGGCCUAACACAUGCAAGUCGAACGAGUGGCGGACGGGUGAGUAAUGUCUGGGAAACUGCCUGAUGGAGGGGGAUAACUACUGGAAACGGUAGCUAAUACCGCAUACCAUCAGAUGUGCCCAGAUGGGAUUAGCUAGUUGGGGGGGGAACGGCUCACCAAGGCGACGAUCCCUAGCUGGUCUGAGAGGAUGACCAGCCACACUGGAACUUAGACACGGCCCAGAACCCGACGGGAUGCAGCAGUGGGUAAUAUUGCAAAAUGGGCGAAAGCCUGAUGCAGACAUGCCGCGUGUAUGAAGAAGGCCUUCGGGUUGUAAAGUACUUUCAGCGGGGAGGCGUUACCCGCAGAAGAAGCACCGGCUAACUCCGUGCCAGCAGCCGCGGUAAUA